rnacentral:tRNA from 3 species
GCCCGGGUGAUGGAAUGGUAGACAUACGGGACUUAAAAUCCCGGGGCGAUUCGCCGUGCGGGUUCAAGCCCCGCCCCGGGUA